rnacentral:misc_RNA from 1 species
UACUGGCAGGAUCAACCAGGUAGCAUUCCUUCGCGACGCCGACGCCCGCAUGAGGCCCGACGAGCCGUGCGGCCGUUGGACUCUCAAGACGGGCGCGGCAGUCGUUCGUGUCGAGGGACGAAAUGCAUUGCUUGGGCAGACGAAGGCCGAGAGACCCCGCACCCGCGCAUAACAUUCUGCAUCCGAGAGCACGGGCAGAGCACCUCAUGGGCCAAGGCAGCCACGCACGCGAGCGAGGCAUGCCAGGAACACGAGGGUCGCCUUGCGUCCACCCCACCACCCGCGAGGGCAUGGGGCGGA